GAUGAAGAACGUAGCGAAAUGCGAUAAGUAAUGCGAAUUGCAGAAUUCAGUGAGUCAUCGAAUCUUUGAACGCACAUUGCGCCCCUUGGUAUUCCAUGGGGCAUGCCUGUUCGAGCGUCAUUUGUACCUUCAAGCUCUGCUUGGUGUUGGGUGAUUGUCUAUCUUUGUAGACUCGCCUUAAAGUCAUUGGCAGCCGGCAUAUUGGCCUGGGAGCGCAGCACAAGUCGCGCUUCUUGUCAUGAAUGUUGGCGUCCAGUAAGUCUACAUAUUUUGCUCUUGACCUCGGAUCAGGUAGGGAUACCCGCUGAACUUAAGCAUAUCAAUAAGCGAGGA
rnacentral:misc_RNA from 1 species